rnacentral:lncRNA from 1 species
UAGAUCUAGGCCAUAAAAAGUGUGUACGUUGGAGGGAGGAAAACGUAGAUCUAGAACAUAAAGAAAGCUUUCCCCUUACUCACCUAUCAAAAAAAAAGGAAAUUUAACCACUUAAUUUGGGUGAAUCUAUGGUGCAAAUGAGGUGAGGAGGAGCAGGCAGCCGAGACCAACAAGCUUGGUAGUGGUGGAGAGAAUGAAGUGGGGGAAAGUGAGUGUGGUAAGUGGUUGUCAAAAAUAUCUAGCUGCUCUCAGGUUAUCAAUGGUGCACCACCAAAGAAUGCGCCAUUACUAGUUUUGAAAAAAAAAACUGAAAAAAAAA